GACUCAACGCGGGAAAUCUUACCGGGUCCGGACACACUGAGGAUUGACAGGCAAUAUUAGCACUUAGCUUCGGCGACGUGUUAUGUUAAAUAUGCUAGUCCUUUCAUGAUUAUGUGAUAGGUGGUGCAUGGCCGUUCUUAGUUCGUGGAGUGAUCUGUCUGCUUAAUUGCGUUUCACCAAGGGCCUAUAAUUUUACGUGUGUUGCGGCACUUUGACCCCUCUUUUUUUAAAGAGCGCGUGUCUUGGUUUGCUUAGCUCGCACAAUUAGGUCCUGAAAGCAACGAACGUGACCGCAACCUCUUGUUGCCUUUAUACCAAACGUGCAUAUGUAAUUUUUUUAAAUUGCUUUGCGCGCAAAAAGGCUUUUUAAACUAGAGGGACCGCUGUUACUUUCUUAAACCAGAGGAAGGUUGCGGCAAUAACAGGU
rnacentral:rRNA from 1 species